AUGAAGUACCUCAAUUGUUUGGUUGUUUUGUCUGUUUGUUUGUUUGUUUUGGAAGUUCCCUGGGCCAGGGAUCAAUUGUUUGAUUGUUAUGUCUGUUUGUUUGUUUGUUUUGGAAGUUCCCUGGGCCAAGGAUUAAACCCUUGCCUAGCAGCAAACCCGAGCCACUGCAGCAACAACACCAGAUCCUUAACCUACCCUGCCACGAGAUAACUCCCUAAACUACCUCCCUUAUGUCAAGAACUUGCUUGUUAAUGGUGAUUCAACCAUGAACAAGACAGACAUGGUUCCUGCCUUACUGAGCCUACACCUCAGUGAAAGAUACAAAAAGCAAGCUGCAGACAAAUAAGCUGCAAGCUAUGGGAAGUGCUUUGGCAGUAACGAGAGCCUGGGGUAGAGAUGAGAAGGACCUUUAUUCUUCAUGUAGGAAGAGUAGUCCUGAUAGGUAGGAAGGAGCCAACCAUGUGAAGAAUAGGGAAGAGUAUGUUCCAGAAGUGGAAACAGGAAGUGCAAAGGUCCUGAGGCUGAAAAGAGCCUGAAUUAUUCAAAUGACUAAAAAGAUAUAUUGAGGUAGGGUAAAAGAAGGCGAUGCCUGAAAUCCAUAGGAACCAAGGACCGGAAGCAGUCACCAAGGUCUCCGUAAGAUUUCUUCCCCCUCUUCACUCUCACCAUCACCCUUGCUGUACAGAUGGUGCUGACACCUCUUCCUCCAAGCGGGACUUCUCUCCAAGGAUCUAACCACUUGCUAUGUUGAAGCAUUUCAAACUCAAUUUCAAAAAUCAAAAUAGUUACCUCUCCUACUUUUUAUCUACCCUGCCCUCAUCCAGUCCCUUAUCGUGUCCAACAAUUUUACCCCUAAAAUAUUUCCCGGGUCUUUCCCCAGCUUCCCAUUGUAGAAACUGCCAUGGCUCGUUCCUCCAGUACAUUUAUUCAGGUCUUAAAAUAACCUCCUAACAGAUCAUCCGACAUCCCUCCCCCUGUCUUCAGGUGCUGUUGUAGAUUUCUCGUCAACAUGAAUGUCCCAUCUCCAUCACAUUCCUCCACCAUCAUAAAAACCUCCAGAUCCUUUCAUGUGUUAGUAAAUUAAACGAAAUCUCCUUAAAAUGGAAUCCGAUACUCUUACUAAAGGCCCCUCACUACCAUCCAAACAUAUGGCCCUUACAUACCCUGCACCUUGUUACAGAGCUGGAAGAUAAUUGCUUGUGACCCAAGACAACCAAACCUCAAUUUACCAAUCUGUAAAAUUGGUGUUAAAAUAGUUUCUAAUUCCUAAGGCAGGUGUGAGGAUAAAACAAAAUAAUACAGGCUAGUUAAAUAACUCCCAUUGAAUAAGUAUUCAACUAUUUUUCUUAUUUAAAAAAUCCUAUAAUGAAACACUUUAGAAAAUAAAGAUAUGUUUUGAGUACA
rnacentral:lncRNA from 1 species